rnacentral:rRNA from 1 species
GCUUGUCUCAAAGAUUAAGCCAUGCAUGUCUAAGUAUAAACAUCUUUAUACAGUGAAACUGCGUACAGCUCAUUAUAUCAGUAAUUAUUUAUUUGAUGGUACCUUACUACAUGGAUAACCGUAGUAAUUCUAGAGCUAAUACAUGCGUAAAGUCCCGACUCUUGCGGGGAGGGAUGUAUUUAUUAGAUAAAAAAUCAAUGCAGGCUUUGCCUGGUUAUUUGGUGAUUCAUAGUAACUGUUCGAAUCGCAUGGCUUUAUGCUGGCGAUAGUUCAUUCAAAUUUCUGCCCUAUCAGCUUUCGACGGUAGUGUAGUGGACUACCGUGGCGUUAACGGGUGACGGAGAAUUAGGGUUCGAUUCCGGAGAGGGAGCCUGAGAAACGGCUACCACAUCCAAGGAAGGCAGCAGG